UAUUCAAUGUUUCUGUUCUAUGUCUGUUUUGGUGAAGGAGAAUAAUUUUUUUUUGCUUCAAAUGUAUGUUUACAUGGUGCAGUGGUUCGAGAAGGCCAGAAAGAUGUGGGCGAAGGAAUGGUCAUCAAGAAAUGAGGCUACGAUAAAGCUGGCUGAAGGCUUCUUUAAUAUACUGAUGAUGACAGGAUUGUCCCAGACUCCCAACCAGUGAGAAAGAGAAGCUCAUAGUGAGUGUUUUUUUACUGACAUUUCACGUACAGUUUCUCAACUGUUUUACAUUGUGUCCAUUGUAGAGAUGAUUCUGUCUGCUCAGUGCUCACAACAUAAUGUUUGCUUGUUUGUCUAUGUUUUAUGAGUAACUGAUCAGUUCAGCAGCUCCCUGGAGCUUGAAGUCUAGUAAAAGGAAAAUCUGGAUCACUGCUGACUUGGCAAAAAGACUACUCUUAAAACAACACUAUAUCAGAUGGUAGUUCUCAUCCCCCUCCUCAGAGUCUUUCCCCGGCACAGUGCCCUGACCCAGAAGCAGCUGCACACACAGCAAGAAGAAAAGUCAAGAGUUCAAGCUUUCACAAAGCACAUGACAUAUCCAAGAAGGAGUUCCAGCAGCUUGAGUAUUGCAUUUUUUUUCCCUUCACUCACUGAAUAACUAGGGAUAUUUCGUUUAAAAUUGCUUUUAUAUUUCACUGAAUUUACUGUCUCCUCAGGGAUAUUUCUGUAUUUACGGAAGGCAGGCAUAACAUUAGUGUGGUAUGGACAUUAAUAGCUCUGAAUGCAAACUAAAUAAACACUAUAAUAUUAAAAAUAUAUGUGUUUAACAAGUGAACCUAAAAGCAGAGUUCAGUUCAAUCAUUCUGACAGUUAAAAUCUCUCCAAAGAAAUCCUGCAUAUCUGUGAACAUGUGAAUGCACUAUACACACCCGAUUCCCAAAAAGUUGGGACACUGUACAAAUUGUGAGUAAAAAAGAAAUGGAAUUAUUUACAAAUCUCAUAAACUUAUAUUUUAUUCACAAAUCACCAAUUCCCCCAAUGCUGCGGCGAAAAAUUGUGAAGCAAUAUCAGAAAGGAGUUUCUCAGAGAAAAAUUGUAAAGAGUUUGAAGUUAUCACCGUCUACAGUGCAUAAUAUCAUCCAAAGAUUCAGAAAAUCUGGAACAAUCUCUGUGCGUAAGGGUCAAGGCCGGAAAACCAUACUGGAUGCCUGUGAUCUUCAGGCCCUUAGACGGCACUGCAUCACUUACAGAAAUGCUACUGUAAUGGAAAUCACAACAUGGGCUCAGGAAUACUACCAGAGAACAUUGUCGGUGAACACAAUCCACCGUGCCAUUCGCCGCUGCCGGCUAAAACUCUAUAGGUCAAAAAAGAAGCCAUAUCUAAACAUGAUCCAGAAGCACAGGCGUUUUCUCUGGGACAAGGCUCAUUUAAAAUGGACUGUGGCAAAGUUGAAAACUGUUCUGUGGUCAGACGAAUCAAAAUGUGAAGUUCUUUUUGGAAAACUGGGACGCCAUGUCAUCCGGACUAAAGAUCAGUUCAGAAGCCUCAAUUUUUAUGCUUGUUUGUGUUACAACCUAGGCUGUCAAAGCAAAUGUGAACAAAAACCUGUUCAGUGAUACGGACACAGACAACAUGAUGGAGAUUAGCUGGUUAAACCCAGCCAUGAGGAAACCCAAGCCCAAAGUGGCCGACUACAGCAGGCAGCCGGUUAAGCCCAUCUUUCCACCAGCUGACUCUGCAUUUAAGUCGCCAUACACCUUUGCCUUCACCACAACCAGUGAAAGAAAUCAAGCCAAAGCAGACAAAGCAGAAGAAAACCUCAGAACAGGAGAAUAAAUGGCAGCCAAGCAUCAAUAAUAAGAAAGCCACAGGACGACCUCAAAGAGCUACAGCCUUGACCAGAACCUACAGAGAGUCGUCUGACUCGGACAACCAGUCCAGCCUUUCAGAAAGUGAAAGAGCACCACCCCCUAAGGAAUGUGGUUUUCAGCACAGUCAGAUCACUGGGAUCAUCAUUAAUUCUAAAUGCCUUUAUUUAAAGUUUCACAUAAAUUCACUUCCAGAAUAAAAAUGUUGUGAUCAUUUAAUCUCCAUGAUGGCAUUCGAGAUGUUUAUGUCUUCAUCUUCAAUCACAAAGAAAUUAAGGUUUUUGAGAAAAACAUUCCAUGGUUUUUCUUCACAUAAUGGACUUCAAUGGGACCCAAUGUACUUAAGGUCCAAAUUGCAGUUUUAGUGCAGCGUCAAACAAUCCCAACCGAGGAAUAAGGGUCUUGUCUUCCAAAACAAUCUUUCCUUUUCUAUUAAAAUCAAAAAUCCUCAAAAAAUUUCUUUGCAACUGAAGAAAGAAAGUCAUGAACAUUUUGGAUGCCAUCGGUGUGAGUAAAUUUUCAGGAAGUUUUUAUUCUGGAAGAGAACUAAUCCUUUAAGACUUUCAGGGUCUAGACAGACUAAUGAUAAAAAUCCUGAUGAUCAUUAUGUCUCCGUCUUUUCCUAAUAGAAAAAAGCAAUUGGGCCACACUUCAGCAGAAUGUCCCAGCUCAAGCCACAGAACAAGGAGAAAAGAGAGAGAAAACCCCUGUAGACACAGCGAAACAACAAAGUGAGAAGAAUGUACAGAAAAAGGCGAAGAUUCUGCGAGAUCAGAGGAAUGAUAAAGGCAAGAAGAAGUCUAGUCCAGAUCAUCUUCCAGUGAAGAAGUCGUCAUCUGCUCAGGAGUCGCCCAGCAGACCAGGAAUCUUGGACUGCGAGAUCCCUCUGUUGAGAAGAUGAGAUGCUCCAGUAUUAAACUGCUGAUGAAGGAUCAGAGCAGCUCAGAGGAAGAAGAGAAGGACAUAGUCACAGAGAACAGGAGAACAAAGAGAAGUUACCAGAAAGGCCUGAAUAAAAGGGCCAAGGAAACAAUAAUAUCAACUGAGGAAGUGGAGACACUGUCAUCUUGUACGAGGUCCAGUUACAGGCAUACCAGUGUGGAGGCAGACAAGGACCUGACCUGACCCAGGAUGCUCUAAAUACUCUACUCUACAUACUCUGUCAGUGUCCAAGUACACCAGCACAGGUCAGGCAUGACCCUUGACUCAGAAGAGGUCAUGUUUCCACCCUAUAACAGAUUACAGCAGUUAAAAAGCACCAUUCAGACUGACAUGUGUGAAAGUCUAGAAUAUGAGAAACAAAUCUUCUUUGUGGAGACGUCUUUAAUGAAGAAGAACAUGAAGUCAGUUCAGGAGCGUUUCUUCAAAGAAAUGAGUAGAGCUGGUUACAUGUACCCAAACAUUUACCCAGACCUGAUUCAUCUUUUCUUAGGGGUCAUUGAAAUGCAGCCCAGUUCUAAAAAUAUCAAAAAGUCCGCUGCUGCUACACUCUGUCAGCCUCAGGUUAAAUAUAUCUGCAGCUGUUCUUCAGGUUUCUCCAGUGGCCGUCUGCGGUGGAGACGCAGCCUCUCGGCCACCACUCGUCCCCAGGGCGCUGGAAGAAUAAGUGAAUCCCAUGAAUGAAGCCACGGCUCUGGAAGAGGCACCUCCAGGAUUUUAUCAUGAACGCCGCUUUCAGCAUUUUCUUCACAGAAGAAAACCACCUCUUAGGGCCUGUGAAACCUGAUGGAGAGGAAAGAAAUCAACAAAGGUCACCGUAGCCACCAGAUCCAGUCUGUAUCCAGAUCAGAGGGUCACUGCAGUCACCCGGAUCCAGUACGUAUCGAGACCAGAUGGUGGAUUAGCACCUAGAAAGGACCUCUACAUCCCUGAAAGACAGCGGAGACCAGGACAACUAGAGCCCCAGAUACAGAUCCCCUGUCUCAGAUGACCACCAGGACAAGACCACAGGAAACAGAUGAUUCCUCUGCACAAUCUGACUUUGCUGCAGCCUGGAAUUGAACUACUGGUUUCGUCUGGUCAGAGGAGAACUGCCCCCCCCAACUGAGCCUGGUUUCUCCCAAUUUUUUCAAUUAAUAGAGUUUCGGUUCCUUGCCGCUGUCGCCUCUGACUUGCUUAGUUGGGGACACUUCAUCUACAGCGGUAUCAGCGGUUGACUUGAUUGCAAAUAAAUGCACAGACACUAUUUAAACUGAACAGAGAUGACAUCACUAAAUGGGCUAGGUGCACAAGAUGGCGCCGGUGAGCUUCAGCGGCGCAAAUGUGUGCAUACUUAUUUCCGGUCUUGCAAUGAUCGCAUUGACAGUAAGGGAAAAUUACAUACGAAACUUGACUAGAUGUAUAUAAUUAAUGAUUUUCAAAUUUAACAGCCGAUAGUGGUAUAUCAAAAACAUGGGGAAACAUCCCUACAUUUUGCGUACCUCUUUGUGGAAAUUCAUCAAGAUACAUUGCCGAGAUUGCUUUAUUCUUCUGUUGAUUAUGCGGAUCAGCGUCAGGUCAGGUCCACAGGGAUUUCUUUUUUCAAACACAAACCACUCAAAUAUGCAAUACUUUUCAUUUUCGAAGAGCUGGUUUUGUUCUGACUGUUAUGUAAGAUCAAUGUUUCUUACUGUCAAACAAGACGCACAGAGAUUUCUGAUAAAGCAUGUUUUAUUAACUUUAUUUGAUUACAUAAUUUAUAACUAACUGUACAAUUAAACGUAAUAUAAUUAUGGUAGGUUUGCCUUAAAUAAAAGAUUGCUUUUUGCAUUCAUGUGUGUUUGUGUUUAUUUGUUUUGUGAAAGAUCUGCAGCAUAAAUCAUUAUCUGUCUAUAUGAGCAGCCAUGUAUAUUGUUAUUCGUUUGCAUUAAUUAUCAGAUUAAACAGAUAUUAAAAUUAGUCACAUAUUUUUUACUGUAUAUAAUAAUAAAAUAUGUUGUGAAAGAAGAUGUUACGGUUGGGUUUUAGAAAGGAGAGGGUAGGAUCCAAUUGCAAAGGUAUGUUUAAUAAAACAAAAAGGGUAAAUACAAAAUAAACAGUCCAGGAUGACAAACCAAACAAAACAAGAGAGGGAACCGGAUGAAACGGGAACUUGGAGGAACGAGAAGGUAAGAGGAAGUCUCGGGAGACGAGAACAUAGGUACACAUAGGGUAAGGACUCCAUACAGACAACAGAGGAGGACAGCAAUAUAUAGGGAGACUAAUGACAAAGGAUUGUCAGCACCUGUGCGAUUUAAUUGGAGUGCAAUUACUGUGAAGACAGGACCAUACUAGAGGAAUUAAAGUGCCUAUGGUGAAGUGCCUAAGGAGAAGUGAGCUCACUAGGGAACACCCAGGAAAACAGAGACUGACAGCGUGACAUUACCCCCUCCCCUAUGGAGCAGCUGCCAGAUGCUCCACCUGAAACCCAGGAAAACCCAACGGAAAAGGAGGUAGGAGGGAGGUGGAGCGGCGGCGGACUAAGGGGAGGGAUGGAGGGUCAGAAAACAGAGACAGGAGAACCAGAUAGAAUGGACAGACAGAGACAACCAGGUGGAAUGGAGAGACAAAGACAGGACAACCAGGUAAAAUGGAAAAAACAGAGACGGAACAACCAGAUGGAAUGGAAAGGCAGAGGCAGGAGAGGUGUAACACAAAACAAGGAGUCCAGGAGGGUGGUGGACCGGCGGAGGAUAAAGGGGAGGGACGGAGGGCCAGGUCCAAAGUAGGAGAAAAAUAGAAAAACAAAUGAAAACAAAAACACAAAAACAUGGGUCCAUAGAGGACAUUAAGUGAUGCCCACCCGGCGGAACAGAGGGCCAUCACACCCAAGUGGUCAAGGCAGAAGCCCCCCCAGGGCGGAGUGGAAGACCACCACGUCCUCGCGGUCAAGGCCGGAGUUCCCCAGGGUGGGGCGGAAGACCACCACGUCCUCGCGGUCGAGGCCGAAGUCCCCCAGGGCGGAGCGGAAGACCACCACGUCUUUGUGGUCGGCCCAAUGGGAGGACGAAGAUCACCGGUGACUUGACUCAGUCCUCGAAGAUCACCGGUGACUAGCCUUGUCACUGGAAAGUCCAUGGUACCUAGUCCUGACUCUGGAAGGUCAUCAGGGACUAGCCCUGACUCUGGAGGGUUCACUGGAACCUGACUCGACUCUGGUGAGUUCACGGGAACCUGACUCGACUCUGGAGAGUUCACGGGAACCUUCGGGCACUGCCUUGGCCUCCGGAACAGCAUCGGGCACCGCCUCGGCCUCCAGAACACCAUCGGGCACUGCAUCGGGAACAGCCUCGGGCACCGCCUCGGCCUCUGGAACGGCCUCAUGGCCGGCAGCGGCCCGCUCGGGAACGUCCUCCUGGACAGCAGCGGCCCACUCUGGAAUGUUCUCCGGGCUUUGAGGAACAGUAGACGCUUUUCUCCUCCUCUUCCGCCCUCCAUGAUGGCGAGUUGGUAGCACCUUGUCUGGAGACUCAGGCGUUGAGUCGGCCAUCUUGUGCUGUGGCACUUGGCUGGCGGCCAUCUUGUGCUGUUGCGCUGGAAUGGUUGGCACUCUGUACUUUGGCGCUGUGCUGGCUGCCAUCUUGCCUCGUGGUGCUGGGUUGGCGGCCAUCUUGUGCUGUGGCGCUGGGCUGGUGGCCAUCUUGUGCUGUGGCGCUGGGCUGGUGGCCAUCUUGUGCUGUGGCGCUGGGCUGGCGGCCAUCUUGUGCUGUGGCGCUGGGCUGGUGGCCAUCUUGUGCUGUGGCGCUGGGCUGGCGGCCAUCUUGUGCUGUAGUGCUGGGUUGACGGCAAUGCAGUGCAGCGGCGUUGGGUUGGCGGCCAUUUUGUGCAGCAGCACAGGACUGGCGGCCAUCUGGUACCACGGCGCUGGCUCGGCCGAUCUGCGUCUCCCUUCUCCUCUCGGAACAUACUGGGGAAAUGGCGGCCCCCAACCGAAUCCCGGGUCGAUGGGAGCCCACAGUGGAGAUCGCUGCCGGAUCUCCUCCCGACUGUUUGCUCCGGAGCGACCUCCCCUGGUCCCCCGGAACACCACUAGGCGAGAGUCCUCAAAGCCACCCUUCUCCCGCUUGCUGGCUGGGGAGGAAAUGACAGCAGGCAUACCGCUGGAUCCUUGUGGAUGGAGUCCUUCUGUGACGGUUGGGUUUUAGAAAACACAAGGAGAGGGUAGGAUCCAAUUGCAAAGGUAUGUUUAAUAAACAAAAAGGGUAAAUACAAAAUAAACAGUCCAGGAUGACAAACCAAACAAAACAAGAGAGGGAACCAGAUGAAACGGGAACUCGGAGGAACGAGAAGGCAAGAGGAAGUCUCGGGAGAUGAGAACAUAGGUACACAUAGGGUAAGGACUCCAUAGAGACAACAGAGAAGGACAGCAAUAUAUAGGGAGACUAAUGACAAAGGAUUGGCAGCACCUGUGCGAUUUAAUUGGAGUGCAAUUACUGUGAAGACAGGACCAGACUAGAGGAAUUAAAGUGACUAUGGUGAAGUGCCUAAGGAGAAGUGAGCUCACUAGGGAACACCCAGGAAAACAGAGACUGACAGCAUGACAGAUGACUGAUGUACGUGUACUAUUGAGAAAUGGAUACUUCUAAAGAUAAAUCGCAGCCCACGUCUCACGAGGUAAAUAUUAUAAAAUAAUAGAAAAAAAUAAAAUAAAUAAUGAGAAAUAGAGAAAUCGAGAAAUAAGUAAUUUGUACAUUCACAUAUUUGGUAAGAUAAAAAUACAUUAUGUAGCUGUGUAUACACACCAUGAGUUCAACUUUCAUUUUGUGAACAGUAGGGAACAUUAGUGUAUUUAAUUCAUUCACCGGACCCAAACAUAAGCAAGUUUCAAAUCCACUGGCUCAGGUAACAUUUAUAGUAUAGUAAUAAUACCAGUGUAUAUCUUAUUUGGAUUUGAAGUGAUAUUAUAAAUCCUGUAAACAUAUAGAAGGUAAUAUUUGGACUUCUCCGGUUCUCUGCACUGACGUUUAGCACAACCGGAAAUAUCUACGCACACACUCGUAAGACUGGAAAUCCAAGAUGGCGGAGAUAUGCAACUAGCCCAUUCAAUGAUGAACUGCCUUUUACUGUCACUUUGCAUUAUUGACACACUUUUUUCCUAAUGAAUAUUGUUCAGUUGCUUUGACGCAAUGUAUUUAGUUUAAAUCGCUAUAUAAAUAAAGGUGACUUGACUUGACAAA